UCUAGUGUGCAAGAUGUGAUUCAAUUAUUGAAACAAUCAAAAUCUCCUUUCCUAAUUGGGAUUUGGGGGAUGACAGGGAUUGGUAAAACUACCAUUGCCCAAUCCAUUUUUAAUCAAAUUAGUCCCUAUUUUGAGUACAAUUACUUCCUCAAUAACAUCGGAACAGUUUGGGAACGAAAUGGAGGUCAAGUUUCUUUACAAGAGAAAUUUUUGUUUGAUAUUAGGAAAGGAACUAAAAGGGUACUUCUUGUACUCGAAAACGUUGAUAAAUUGGAGCAGCUAAAUGCUUUGUGUGGAAGUCGGAAAUGGUUUGCUCCAGGAAGCAAAAUAAUCAUCACGACUAGGGAUAGACAUCUACUCAAGGAGCAUGGAGUUGACCAUAUUUAUAGAGUGAAAGAGCUGGAUAAAAGUGAAUCGCUUGAUCUUUUGAAUUGCAGUGCAUUCAGCCAAACAACACGUCCUCCAGAAGAUUUUGUUGAUCUAUCCAGACAGAGAGUUGCUUAUUCUAGGGGAUGGCCUCUUGCUCUUAAAGCUCUUGGGAGGUUUUUGCAUGGAAAGAAAGUACUUGAGUGGAAGGGUAUAUUGAGCAGUAUUGAAAAAUUUUCCAUUCCAGAUCCACGACUACUAAAUGCUCUAGAAAAGAGUUUCAGUGAUUUGAGUGAUAACGAGAAGCAAAUAUUCUUGGAUAUAGCAUAUUUCUUUAUUGGGAUGAAUCAAAAUGAUGUUCUUCAAACAUUAAAUAAGUCAACACAAUACGCAGCUCUUCAAAUAUGUCUGCUUGAAGACAAGAUCUAGAGCCUUGUAACCAUUGAUGAGAAUAACAAGAUUGAAAUGAAUGUUUUGCUACAAGCCAUGGCAAGGUAUAUCACUAAGAGGCAAUCAAGUAAUUUGCCUGAUCAGCCAAAGAUAUACGAUGUGUACUUCUUGAGUUUUAGAGGGGUAGACAAUCGUUCGAAGUUCAUUUCACAUCUCUAUUCCUCUCUUCAAAAUUCAGCUAUUUUUGCUUUUAGAGACGAUGAUGAGCUUCAACGAGGAGAGCAUAUAUCAAUCGCACUGUUGCGAGCAAUUGGACAGUCUAGAAUUUCUAUAGUUGUUUUCUCUACAAAUUAUGCUAAUUCUAGAUGGUGUAUGCUAGAGUUGGAGAAGAUCAUGGAAAUUGGCAGAACCAGGGGUUUGGUUGUUGUGCCAGUGUUCUAUGAGGUGGAUCCUUCAGAAGUACGUCAUCAGAACAGUCAGUUUGGGAAAGGUUUUGAUGAUCUUAUAUCAAAAAUCUCAGUGGAUGAAUCCACAAAGAGUAACUGGAGAAGGGAAAUCUUCGAUAUUUGUGGCAUAUCAGGUUUUACCCUCAUAGAUUCCAGGUUAUGUAUUUAUUUAUUCUUUUUUAGAGUAUUGUUCAUGAUUCUUUAAAUUUCUCAAGCUUUGGUGGUGUAAUAAUUAAUGUCCAUUUUAAAAAUCUCUUUCUUUUAAAGAUUGUCAUUUCAUAAAAAAUUCUAGAUAAUUAUAAAAGUUUUUGAAAAUAAUCACAAAAUCUGAAAUUUGAUUGCAAUGGAAAGCUAUUCUGAAACAUGAUUCUAAUUAGUAUGUUAAAUGAAAAAAAUAAAUAUAUGUUUAAAGUAUUUUCUGUGAUUGUGAAUAUAUAUCAGAUAACUUUUGUUUUACAUAAAAAUCUCUUACCUGGAAUCAAUUUUGUAUAAGAUAAAAAUAACUUUUUUUAUCUAAGUUAUUUAUAGUAUUUUCUCUAAGAUCAAUCGAUAGGAUUCCCGGAGGUGUAGGUAUUCCUAAAUCCUUCAUUUGGCAUUUCUUGAAUUCUUGUGACUUGUUUGUGGAAGCCAUGAAUCUUCUUGUCAAAUUUGUCAUACUAUUUUGUUCUUCACUAUAAGAAUUUGCAGACGAAAUACGACUAUGUUGGUGGUAUUAUCGAGGUAGCAUUUUAACGGAAUCACUCACUACACUCUAGGAUAUGAUGUGAUUGGUUAUUCAGGGAGAUUGCCACUAGCACUUGAAGUUCUUGGGUCCUAUUUGUCUGACUGUGAAAUAACAGAGUGGCAGAAAGUUUUGGAUAAACUAAAAUGUAUUCCUGAUUUUCAAGUACAGGAGAAACUAAAAGUAAGCUUCAAAGGUUUAAAAGAUUAUAUGGAGAAACAAAUAUUCCUUGAUAUAGCUUGUUUCUUUAUUGGGGUAGACAAAAAGGAUGUAAUACAAAUAUUAAAUGGGUGUGGAUUUUUUGCUGAUAUUGGAAUUAAAGUCCUUCUUGAGCGAGCCCUUGUUACUGUUGACAAAGGAAACAAGCUUAGAAUGCAUGAUUUGUUGAGAGACAUGGGGAGACAAAUAGUUUUUGAGGAAUCACCAUCAGAUCCUGAAAACUGCAGUAGAUUGUGGCACCGUGAGGAAGUGUUUGAUAUAUUAUCAAAUCAGAAGGGAACAGAAGCUGUCAAAGGACUAGCUUUGGAGUUUCCAAGAGAAGAUUGUCUAGAAACCAAAGCAUUUAAGAAGAUGAACAAACUCAGAUUGCUUCGCCUCGCUGGUGUGCAACUUAAGGGAGAUUAUAAAUACCUUUCAAGAGAUCUUAGGUGGCUGUACUGGCAUGGAUUUCCAGAAUCCUACGCUCCAGCAAAAUUUCAGCAAAGAAGUCUUGUUGCAUUCGAAUUAAAAUAUAUAUAGUAAGCUCAAAAAUUUUGGAACAAGAGCCAGAUGCUAGAGAAUCUAAAAAUUCUUAAUCUUAGUCAUUCCCAUGAUUUGACCGAAACCCCAGACUUUUCAUACUUGCCGAAUCUUGAAAAGCUAGUACUCAAGAAUUGUCCAAGUUUGUCUACGCUCUCCCAUAGCAUUGGAUCUCUACAUGAAAUUUUUCUCAUAAAUUUGAGAGACUGCAUAGGUCUUCGGAAGCUUCCAAGAAGCAUCUAGAAACAUCUACCAAACACUAGUGCCUUCAUAUCAUAUUUCGUAUGUAGAAACAUGGUGUGGUCUUAUUUAUGAAUUCAAGAGGUCAAAACUUGUACAGGAAAUCAUGGAGAUCGAGGCAACAAGAGGUUCACAUGUUUGCUUUAGUUGGUUGCGUGAUGUCUACCUGGAGUAGUUAGAUGAUGACUAUUUGAACUAUGCAACAACAGCAUUUCUACUGCAUGUUGCGGGAAAAUUGAAAGAGGAUUACUACGCUGCUUCAGUCUAUGCUUGACACAUUGAUGGUAGCAAAAGAUAUUGAAGUUUGAAAAUCUACUUGAAGGAUUGGCAAUGAGUUUUGUCUCGUAUUAUUAGAGAAGACAAAACACUUGAUUUCACCAGUCGAUUGGUAUUAUUUUGGUUGUAUGUACAUCCUAUCUUAUAUAGCUUAUAUUUUAGGGAAAUGCUAUAUAGUACUAUGAUCAUACAUUGGAAAGCUAACCAAUCAAUGAAGGAGAGAGAGACAAUAUCGAUUUUUUUUUAAGGUGAUCCAACAUUGAUCCGCCAUAAUGCAACUGUCAAAAUGGUUUUGUGAAAAUUUGUCAUGUGAUUUUUCGUACUGAA